rnacentral:misc_RNA from 1 species
UUUGUAUGUGAAGUGACAAUUGUUCUACCUUCUUCGAAUCGUCAUCAUUUCCAGGAAGAACUUCAAACAGUUAACGUCGUCCUUCGUGCUGUACUCUUCAUUGUACUCCACGUUGUACUCUCUCCUACACGACGCACGAGAUGGUGUAUGUCUCUGAAGGUAACAUAGUAUCUUCGAGGUCUCCAUGGCGGCUGUCAAUCAUUCCAGAGGUCCUGUAUGCACUGGUGGGUGUUAUCAUUCUUUUUUUCAAGACAUUAAUAUCGCCUAACUCAACCCAGCACGACGGUAGUGGCGGCUACCGAUCAGAUGGACGAGGCCCACCACCCCCUCCAAGGCGGCGCAUGGGCAGAUUAAAUUUUGACGGUGACAUACCUGGUCCCCCACCGAUGAGUGGAGGUGGAUGAGGUUAGGAGGCAGUCUGCUGUCUUAAAAAGACCACAGACUGCCUCAGAUGGUCCCCACUAAUCAGGAAACAGUAAUUCUACUAAACCCUCUUCCUCUCCUCCCCCUCCUCUUCACCCUACUCCCCAUUUAUCUUCCUCUUUCUCUCUCCUCUGAUUUUGUAACAUUUUAAAAAUUUCUUCUUCUUCUCCUCCUCCUCCCCCUCUACCAUGAUUUCAAAAGUAACUUUGGUCAUCUGGAGUGAUCAACAUUUUUACAUCUGUACUAAUCUAGAUGAUAUGAGUGUAACUUGUAGUUAAUCUAGCCACUACACCAGAUGCAUUGAGCUCCUGCUCUGCUUAAUCCACUACAUACUUUAAGCUCCAGCUUUUGGUUGUGUUGAACAGACCAUCUUGCCACAUGUUAUUAGCUCCAACUUUUGGUUAAUCUAGUCUACCAGAUGUUUUGAGCUCUGGAUUUUGAUGAAAUUGGCCAGUCUACCAGAUUUAAGCCUUAAGCUUCAGGUUAUGGUAAAUCUAACCUGUCCACCCUGAUAGAUGCUAUGAGCUUUUGGUUGAUCUAGUUCACCAGAUGCUUAGGAGAUUGUCUUUGGUGAAAUUGGCCAGAUGCUGUGGGCUCCAAUUUUUAGUUAAUCUUGUUCACCAGGUACUUUGAGCUCUAGCUUCUGGUUGCUCUGGCUAGUCCAUCCUGCCAAGUGCUCCAGCAUUUAGUUAAUCUGGGUCACCAGAUGCAAUGAGAAUCUGUUUUGGUUAAUCUAGCCAGUCCACCAGUUGCUUUGAGCUUCAGCUUCUGAUUAAUCUAGAAUUCUCCUGAGUAUUAAGCAGCUACAACAGAUGUUACUCAGAGUUUAACACCAUCAAACAUGUUAGAACGGAGGAGGACACGUGUCACCACACGUUCUUGUAUAUUCUUCCUGGCUUGAUUCCAGCAGCAUCUGGAGGGGGUCAAGCCACGGUCCCCCAUCACCUCCCCACUCCCAUACCACUCCCUACCCUUCUCCCUGUUUCCUCAUUAGUCGAGGACCAUCUGGAUACAUAUGUACAAACCCAAAGGAAUCCUUCUUUUACCAGAAGCCUUGCAGCUGUGCCUGUAAAUGUAUGAAGAACUUGCUAGAAGCUCCGUGGAGUUAGCAAGAUCCGAAAAAAAUAUUUCUUGAAAGAAGAAUUCCAACUACCCAAUCAACUGACUUUAUAUAUACUUGAGAUAUAUAUAUAUAUGUAUAUAUGUAUGUAUAUAUAUACAUACA